CCUACGGGUGGCAGCAGUGGGGGAUAUUGCACAAUGGGGGGAACCCUGAUGCAGCGACGCCGCGUGGGUGAAGGAGUGCUUCGGCAGGUAAAGCCCGAGCGGCAGGGAAGAAGCAAGACGGGACCGGACGAAGAAGCCCCGGCUAACUACGUGCCAGCAGCCGCGGUAAUACGGAGGGGGCGAGCGUUAUCCGGAUUCACUGGGUGGAAAGGGAGCGUAGACGGCCAUGCAAGCCUGAAGGGAAAGGCGGGGGCCCAACCCCCGGACUGCUUUGGGAACUGUACGGCUGGCGUGCAGGAGAGUUAAGUGGACUUCCUCGUGUCGCGGUGACAUGCGUAGAUAUUAGGAUGCUCCCCCGUGGCGCAGGCGGCUUACUGGACUGUAACUGACGUUGCGGCUCGAACGCGUGGGGAGCAAACAGGAUUAGCUACCCCAGUAGUC
rnacentral:rRNA from 1 species